UAGUGGCGAACGGGUGAGUAACACGUGGGCAAUCUGCCCUUCACUCUGGGACAAGCCCUGGAAACGGGGUCUAAUACCGGAUAAUACUUUCUCCUGCAUGGGAGAGGGUUGAAAGCUCCGGCGGUGAAGGAUGAGCCCGCGGCCUAUCAGCUUGUUGGUGGGGUGAUGGCCUACCAAGGCGACGACGGGUAGCCGGCCUGAGAGGGCGACCGGCCACACUGGGACUGAGACACGGCCCAGACUCCUACGGGAGGCAGCAGUGGGGAAUAUUGCACAAUGGGCGGAAGCCUGAUGCAGCGACGCCGCGUGAGGGAUGACGGCCUUCGGGUUGUAAACCUCUUUCAGCAGGGAAGAAGCGUGAGUGACGGUACCUGCAGAAGAAGCGCCGGCUAACUACGUGCCAGCAGCCGCGGUAAUACGUAGGGCGCAAGCGUUGUCCGGAAUUAUUGGGCGUAAAGAGCUCGUAGGCGGCUUGUCGCGUCGGAUGUGAAAGCCCGGGGCUUAACCCCGGGUCUGCAUUCGAUACGGGCAGGCUAGAGUGUGGUAGGGGNAAAUCGGAAUUCCU
rnacentral:rRNA from 1 species